GAUUAGCCCAGAUUGCAAUGGUAGCUUGUUUGAAAUAAAUGAGAUAAAAACUUUUUUGGAAGAAGCGACCCACGGAAGCUUAUUUCAAAAUUUAGUUUUUACUUAUUUAGGAGAACAACUAUAAUGGAAAGCUGGAAAUGGC
rnacentral:misc_RNA from 1 species